UACGGAGGGAGCUAGCGUUGUUCGGAAUUACUGGGCUUAAAGCGCACGUAGGCGGCGAUUCAAGUCAGAGGUGAAAGCCCGGGGCUCAACCCCGGAACUGCCUUUGAAACUAGAUUGCCAGAAUCCUGGAGAGGUUAGUGGAAUUCCGAGUGUAGAGGUGAAAUUCGUAGAUAUUCGGAAGAACACCAGUGGCGAAGGCGACUAACUGGACAGGUAUUGACGCUGAGGUGCGAAAGCGUGGGGAGCAAACAGG
rnacentral:rRNA from 1 species